CUGUGUCAGUGAGUCCCUCUGCUGAGAUGAUGGAGGGUGGUUCAGUGACUCUGACCUGUAGCGCUGAUGCUAACCCAGCAGCUAACUACACCUGGUACAAGGAGGAUGAAGACUCACCACGAGCAUCAGGACAGAUGUUCACCAUCACUGACUUCAGAGCUGAACACAGUGGGAAUUAUUCCUGUGAAGCCCAGAACGAGAUGGGACGUAGUACCUCCACCUUACUUCUGAUGACUUCUUCAGGAAAAGGAGGCUUCUUAUGGUCAAUAACAACAACAGCAGCUGUUGCGUCCACAUCCGCUAUUUUCCUGGUGAUCAUGAUGAUCCUCGCUCUCUUCCUCUGGAUCAGAAGAAAAAGGUCCUCACAAAGCUUUUUCCCUGGGAAGAUACCAGACAACAGCGCUGAGAUCCCACUAGCAAAGCUUUGCUAUACCAGCUUGAACUUCUCCAGAAACCAGGAGGAUCUUCUCUACUCCAACAUCAGGCCAACUCGUCCCCCCCAGGGGCAAGCAGGAAGUGGAGGAAGAGGAGAAAGUGGAGGAAGUACAGAACUCAAGUGUCAACGUUAAGAGUUCUGGUGCUGCCAGUCAGUGUGAAGGAGCUGUGGAUGAUUCUUCUGCUCUGUACAGCACCGUCAGCAAAGCACCAAGAGAAUGAAGCCACACGGACAUGUGGUGUGUUACUUUACAGAGUUUAAGCAUACUAACAAAUUACGAGGAAUUCUCAACAGUAGCAUACUGUUAUUCGUCAAUACAGUUGAAUACUGUAAAAUAUUGCAGGUUGAUGUCUUGGAAGAAUAUAUUUUUUACAGCAUGCUACUGUUUAAAGUUGUGGUAUGCUACUGUAUUCCUUUUUUACUCUAACUCUGCCCAUUACUCAUAUAAUCACAUUGCAUCAAGUGUCUACUUAUUUAGCACAUUCAAUGUACUUUAGACUUUAUCUUAUUUUCACCAAGUCAAUUUCCUCUAUGUGUAACAUAUAGCAAUAAAUGGCUUCUGAUUCUGAUCAA